CAUUUUCUGCUAGGUGUUUAUGUGAUUGCUUGUCUGUUUGGAAUUGCUUUGAAAUUACCAAUGUAUUAAUAAAGGCUGAAGAAAAAAUCUUCAUUAUUUUACAGAACCUUACACAUAAUAACUGCCCUGCUGUCCAGAAAAAUAAGGGUGUUAUUCUGAAGAGCUCACAGCCUAAUCAGAUGCUAUAGCAGCAAGUGGAAACGAUGAAGGAAAAUGCUGGAGCGAGCUGACAAAGGAGCAAGGCAGAUGGGGUAUCCCCAAGAAGAACAUGGAAGUUGAAUCCUGUUUAUCCUUACAGAAGUCUUCUUCUGAACAAGGUGGUCUACAGAUUAAGCAUAUCCUCUUAUGGAGAGCCCAGGGUAUACGUGUCACGUACCACAUAGGAGUUCAAAUGCGAAGUGGUAAAUUCAGCUUGCUACAUGUCAGAAAUGGCUCUACUCCAUCAUGACAGUCUGGUUGGUACUGCCCAAGAAGCGGUAAAACUGUGAUUGGAGCUGAACCAAGCAGUGGGAGAACUUCUUGACCUAGCUUUGCUGCCAGGUAACUGCUUGUAUAACCAUACCAUUAACAUACUGUUUAUGCCUCUGUUGUACAAGACUUAUUAGAUAGCUGACAGGUAAUAAAAUGAGGCUCUUAAAAGGUUAGGAGUUGGGC
rnacentral:lncRNA from 1 species